rnacentral:rRNA from 1 species
GACGAACCGUGCGAACGUUGUUCGGAAUCACUGGGCUUAAAGGGCGCGUAGGCGGGCUGGUAAGUCAGGGGUGAAAGCCCACGGCCCAACCGUGGAAGUGCCUUUGAUACUGCCAGUCUCGAGGGAGGUAGGGGCGUGCGGAACUUCCGGUGGAGCGGUGAAAUGCGUAGAUAUCUGGAGGAACACCGGUGGCGAAGGCGGCAUCCUGGACCAACACUGACGCUGAGGAGCGAAAGCCAGGGGAGCAA